rnacentral:rRNA from 1 species
CAUGCAAGUCGAGGGGAAACCACAUCGAAAGCUUGCUUUUGAUGGGCGUCGACCGGCGCACGGGUGAAUAACGCGUAUCCAACCUGCCCACCACUUGGGGAUAACCUUGCGAAAGUAAGACUAAUACCCAAUGACGUCUCUAGAAGACAUCUGAAGGAGAUUAAAGAUUUAUCGGUGAUGGAUGGGGAUGCGUCUGAUUAGCUUGUUGGCGGGGUAACGGCCCACCAAGGCUACGAUCAGUAGGGGUUCUGAGAGGAAGGUCCCCCACAUUGGAACUGAGACACGGUCCAAACUCCUACGGGAGGCAGCAGUGAGGAAUAUUGGUCAAUGGACGAGAGUCUGAACCAGCCAAGUAGCGUGCAGGAUGACGGCCCUAUGGGUUGUAAACUGCUUUUAUAAGGGAAUAAAGUGAGUCUCGUGAGACUUUUUGCAUGUACCUUAUGAAUAAGGACCCGGCUAAUUCCGUGCCAGCAGCCGCGGUAAUACGGAAGGUCCGGGCGUUAUCCGGAUUUAUUGGGUUUAAAGGGAGCGUAGGCCGGAGAUUAAGCGUGUUGUGAAAUGUAGAUGCUCAACAUCUGAACUGCAGCGCGAACUGGUUUCCUUGAGUACGCACAAAGUGGGCGGAAUUCGUGGUGUAGCGGUGAAAUGCUUAGAUAUCACGAAGAACUCCGAUUGCGAAGGCAGCUCACUGGAGCGCAACUGACGCUGAAGCUCGAAAGUGCGGGUAUCGAACAGGAUUAGAUACCCUGGUAGUCCGCACGGUAAACGAUGGAUGCCCGCUGUUGGUCUCUAUAGGUCAGCGCCCAAC